UUUUAGCCAUCGUAUCUGCUACCCGAUUAGCAUAUUUGGGAAUAUGAUUCCAAGUUACACCCUCUGAUCUCCCAUGCACCAAAUGGAUCUCUUGAAUUAGUUGGUAAUGAGGACGAAGACGAUCUCAAUUAUCCUCUAGCGCUUCAAUAGCCUCAACUAAGCUUGAGUCAAUAUGAAUUGAGUAGAACCUUAUAUUCAAAGCAAGUUUGAUGCUAUUAAGA
rnacentral:lncRNA from 1 species